GCACCCUGUGAUUAUAAAAAGACGCGUUAUUCUGAGGGACUCCACUGGAUGGCAGUUUUCUUCCUUUUUCUAUUCUUUUCUUUACAUCCUCCUUUAUGCUUCUCCCUUGUCCCUCAGUCUUAAACUGCCAGCUAGUCCGCUGACUGCGAUUAUGAGAUAUGAGAGAGU